ACCAUUAAAGUUGCUGCUUUCUUUGUUAUUUGUUUUUGGAGCUUCUGGACCUGCACCUGCCUGCCACAGAAUAAGACUGGGAGAGAAUAAGGAGGUUAGCGGCACCUCUCAUCUUCUAUUUGUCAGCCUGUAAAGCUCUUUGAGAUGACAGACUGUGAUUUGGCUGCAUUAACAUGAACUUGAAUUAGCUCAAGCUGUGAGACUUUGGUUGCAGGUAACUGAAGGUUAAACUAAUAGCAGCAUUUUCUCUCCAUCUAUGGCUGUGUCCAUUAAAGUCAAAGCAAAUACUGAAAUG